rnacentral:rRNA from 1 species
GACGAACGCUGGCGGCGUGCUUAACACAUGCAAGUCGAACGGAAAGGCCCUGCUUUUGUGGGGUGCUCGAGUGGCGAACGGGUGAGUAACACGUGAGUAACCUGCCCUUGACUUUGGGAUAACUUCAGGAAACUGGGGCUAUACCGGAUAGGAGCUCCUGCUGCAUGGUGGGGGUUGGAAAGUUUCGGCGGUUGGGGAUGGACUCGCGGCUUAUCAGCUUGUUGGUGGGGUAGUGGCUUACCAAGGUUUUGACGGGUAGCCGGCCUGAGAGGGUGACCGGCCACAUUGGGACUGAGAUACGGCCCAGACUCCUACGGGAGGCAGCAGUGGGGAAUAUUGCACAAUGGGCGGAAGCCUGAUGCAGCAACGCCGCGUGCGGGAUGACGGCCUUCGGGUUGUAAACCGCUUUCGCCUGUGACGAAGCGUGAGUGACGGUAAUGGGUAAAGAAGCACCGGCUAACUACGUG